UGGAAAUCUCGUUGAGUUUGGGAGGCCUUACUUCUGCAUAUUUGAAUCUGGUGACCAAAUUAAACAUUGUUCUAGCUGUAGUGGUCUGAUCAUUCUACCAAGGCCAUGACUGUGAAGAGCACUGUGGGUGAUGGCUGGUGGCUCACCGGAGCCGGCUUGUGCACGGCGCCCGAAGCCAAAGAAAUCUGAAGACCCGACCUUACUAUUGGCAAAGACAGACAAACACUCUACAAAUAGUGCUUGAAAAAUGCCACUGUUUGGUUCAGAUGGUGAAGAGGAACUCAGGAAGGCCUGGCAGUCUCUAGGAGGCUAGGGCAGUGGUUCUCAAAUGAUAGGGUGUACAGAAAUUCCCUGGAGGACUUGUGACAACAAAGAUUGCUAGGCCUACUCCCAGGGUUUCUAAUUCAGCAGGUCUGGGGAUGGAGCUCAAGUAUCUGCAUUUCUAACAAGUCCCCGGUGGUGCUGAUGCUGCUUGCAUGGACCAGUUUUGAGAACCAUACUUGGAGAAACACUUGGUUAGGAAAACUAUGUCUGUUACAGAUUGAUCAAAGGGCUCUUAAGUUCCUUUUGUACAAUAAAUCACUGCGAUAUCAAAUGAGGUAAAUGAACAUGCUCUUUGAACUCUUAACUUCUAGACCAAUAUAAAACAUUCUAAAUAUGAAAUGGAAACAUUUACAAUUGUUAUUGAUUCUCAUCAAUGCAAUGUUCAAUAAAGAUAAGAAUCA
rnacentral:lncRNA from 10 species